rnacentral:rRNA from 1 species
CUUGACGGUACUGUAAGAAUAAGGAUCGGCUAACUCCGUGCCAGCAGCCGCGGUAAUACGGAGGAUCCAAGCGUUAUCCGGAAUCAUUGGGUUUAAAGGGUCCGUAGGCGGUUUUAUAAGUCAGUGGUGAAAUCUCCCCGCUCAACGGGGAAACGGCCAUUGAUACUGUAAGACUUGAAUUAUUAGGAAGUAACUAGAAUAUGUAGUGUAGCGGUGAAAUGCUUAGAGAUUACAUGGAAUACCAA